rnacentral:rRNA from 1 species
AACGAACGCUGGCGGCAUGCCUAACACAUGCAAGUCGAACGAGACCUUCGGGUCUAGUGGCGCACGGGUGCGUAACGCGUGGGAAUCUGCCCUUGGGUUCGGAAUAACAGUUAGAAAUGACUGCUAAUACCGGAUAAUGUCUUCGGACCAAAGAUUUAUCGCCCAGGGAUGAGCCCGCGUAGGAUUAGCUAGUUGGUGAGGUAAAGGCUCACCAAGGCGACGAUCCUUAGCUGGUCUGAGAGGAUGAUCAGCCACACUGGGACUGAGACACGGCCCAGACUCCUACGGGAGGCAGCAGUGGGAAUAUUGGACAAUGGGCGAAAGCCUGAUCCAGCAAUGCCGCUGAGUGAUGAAGGCCUUAGGGUUGUAAAGCUCUUUUACCCGGGAUGAUAAUGACAGUACCGGGAGAAUAAGCCCCGGCUAACUCCGUGCCAGCAGCCGCGGUAAU